rnacentral:rRNA from 1 species
GCAUAUCAAUAAGCGGAGGAAAAGAAACCAACAGGGAUUGCCUCAGUAACGGCGAGUGAAGCGGCAAAAGCUCAAAUUUGAAAUCUGGCACCUUCGGUGUCCGAGUUGUAAUUUGAAGAAGGUAACUUUGGAGUUGGCUCUUGUCUAUGUUCCUUGGAACAGGACGUCACAGAGGGUGAGAAUCCCGUGCGAUGAGAUGCCCAAUUCUAUGUAAAGUGCUUUCGAAGAGUCGAGUUGUUUGGGAAUGCAGCUCUAAGUGGGUGGUAAAUUCCAUCUAAAGCUAAAUAUUGGCGAGAGACCGAUAGCGAACAAGUACAGUGAUGGAAAGAUGAAAAGAACUUUGAAAAGAGAGUGAAAAAGUACGUGAAAUUGUUGAAAGGGAAGGGCUUGAGAUCAGACUUGGUAUUUUGCAAGCCUUACCUUCGUGGUGGGGUCCCCUGCAGUUUACUGGGCCAGCAUCGGUUUGGAUGGUGGGAUAAUGACUUGGGAAUGUGGCUUUGCUUCGGUAAAGUGUUAUAGCCCUUGUUGAUACCGCCUGUCUAGACCGAGGACUGCGUCUUUGACUAGGAUGUUGGCAUAAUGAUCUUAAGUCGCCCGUCUUGAAACACGGACCAAGGAGUCUAACGUCUAUGCAAGUGUUUGGGUGUAAAACCCGUACGCGUAAUGAAAGUGAACGUAGGUGAGAGCUCUUUUGAGUGCAUCAUCGACCGAUCCUGAUGUCUUCGGAUGGAUUUGAGUAAGAGCAUAGCUGUUGGGACCCGAAAGAUGGUGAACUAUGCCUGAAUAGGGUGAAGCCAGAGGAAACUCUGGUGGAGGCUCGUAGCGGUUCUGACGUGCAAAUCGAUCGUCGAAUUUGGGUAUAGGGGCGAAAGACUAAUCGAACCAUCUAGUAGCUGGUUCCUGCA